GCGCUGACACAGCUGGCACAAUCGGAUGGAAUUUGGAAUUCUAAAUACUAAACAGAAAGUAUUACCAGAAAGAUGCGAGCCGGAUGCAAAUGCCGCCGGUUGUCACGCUCCGCCGACUAAGCAAAUCGUGGAAUACGUCAGUUGACUUUCUUUGAAGUUUUCUUUUCCGACCGCUCAGCGAUUCGGAUGUUAAAACGCAUCCGUCUCAUUUUAAAAGCUCAGAAUGUAGACGGAAGUCGGAGGACUGCACCGCGAGACAAUGAUUCUCCAUUGUACGUAUCCUAAACAUUACCCGUUUAUUCUACCGGAUGGAAAGCAGGGAAAACGGGUGAAUGCUGUAGGUCUUAUAAUCUGUAGAAGUCUUUGAUAUAAAAAAACUCUUGAUUUCGUGCGUCACGGAGUUUCGUCUUUUUGGCAUACCAAAUUUACGUCAAUGCAAAACGUCGGAACAAAAACAAUGGACUUCAAGGAAAAAAAGUUUGGAUGUCAACAAAAGAGAACUGGACACUGCUGCCAUCUGUUGCCAAUCUACGAAGUAUUUUACCAUAAACGUUGGGCUUCAAAUUUAAAGGGCAAAACUAUUACAACAUCGCAAGGAAAUUUUUAAGCUUUUAGGGAGACAUUGUUCGAGUUAAAACGAAUGGCGGCGGUGCUUUCUGGUGGCUAUGUAUUCGUAGUUUUUUAUUUUCCACCAUCGUUCAAAAAAAUUUUAAUCGACACUACACUCGGAAGUGCAUUCGUUACAUAGACUCUGAGACCUUUUAAGCUAAACGAUUCAUCUCGGAUCC